rnacentral:rRNA from 1 species
GACGAACGCUGGCGGCGUGCUUAACACAUGCAAGUCGAACGAAGUGGCGAACGGGUGAGUAACGCGUAAUCAACCUGCCCUUCAGAGGGGGACAACAGUUGGAAACGACUGCUAAUCCCGCAUACUUAUGGAGGGGACGGCGUCUGAUUAGCAGGUUGGAGGGGUAACGGCCCACCAAGGCGAUGAGCAGUAGCCGGUCUGAGAGGAUGAACGGCCACAUUGGGACUGAGACACGGCCCAGACGCCUUCGGGAGGCAGCAGUGGGGAAUCUUCCGACAUGGACGAAAGUCUGACGGAGCAACGCCGCGUGAGUGAUGACGGCCUUCGGGUUGUAAAGCUCUGUUAAUCGGGACGCGGUACCGGAAGAGAAAGCCACGGCUAACUACGUGCCAGCCGCCGCGGUAAUUG